AAUUAAUGAACUUGAUAAAGUAUAUAUUUUGAAAAUAUAUUAAAGUAAUAUAAUUUACUAUUAAUUU
rnacentral:tRNA from 1 species